rnacentral:lncRNA from 1 species
AGGCCCAGCCCUAGAUGUGGGCUCGUCUACUGUAUGAGGGUUUUGGAGGGCUGAGGCAGACGAGCUCCUGGAACCGCUAGAGGCGGAGGUGCUAGAAGACAUUUCGGGCAAGAACCUUAAAAAUCCCGAAGAGAUCAGGCAAAACAAGGGGCGAAAGAUUCGUGGGGGACCAAACAAGAGAAAUACGGCAAAAGAAAAAUGAAGAAGAAGGGGCACCAAGAUGGCAUGAGAAGGAACGAAAGUUUCGGACUGACCUAAGUCGCUCCGAAGGAUGCAGAGGUGCAGGGAUGGAGACAACUCGAAGAGCACCUAGGGCCAGAGCGGGCACCA